UACGAAGGGGGCUAGCGUUGUUCGGAAUUACUGGGCGUAAAGCGCGCGCAGGCGGUCUUCCAAGUCAGUGGUGAAAGCCCGGAGCUCAACUCCGGAAUUGCCAUUGAAACUGUUGGACUUGAGGAUGAGAGAGGUGAGUGGAAUUCCCAGUGUAGAGGUGAAAUUCGUAGAUAUUCGGAAGAACACCAGUGGCGAAGGCGACUUACUGGACACAUAUUGACGCUGAGGUGCGAAAGCGUGGGGAGCAAACAGG
rnacentral:rRNA from 1 species